rnacentral:rRNA from 1 species
AGUGAACGCUGGCGGUAGGCCUAACACAUGCUAGUCGAACGGCAGCACAGUAAGAGCUUGCUCUUACGGGUGGCGAGUGGCGGACGGGUGAGGAAUACAUCGGAAUCUACUUUUUCGUGGGGGAUAACGUAGGGAAACUUACGCUAAUACCGCAUACGACCUACGGGUGAAAGCAGGGGAUCUUCGGACCUUGCGCGAUUGAAUGAGCCGAUGUCGGAUUAGCUAGUUGGCGGGGUAAAGGCCCACCAAGGCGACGAUCCGUAGCUGGUCUGAGAGGAUGAUCAGCCACACUGGAACUGAGACACGGUCCAGACUCCUACGGGAGGCAGCAGUGGGGAAUAUUGGACAAAGGGCGCAAGCCUGAUCCAGCCAUACCGCGUGGGUGAAGAAGGCCUUCGGGUUGUAAAGCCCUUUUGUUGGGAAAGAAAAGCAGCAGGUUAAUACCCCGCUGUUCUGACGGUACCCAAAGAAUAAGCACCGGCUAACUUCGUG